rnacentral:rRNA from 1 species
UACGAAGGGGGCUAGCGUUGCUCGAAUCACUGGGCGUAAAGCGCACGUAGGCGGACUUUUAAGUCAGGGGUGAAAUCCUGGAGCUCAACUCCGGAACUGCCUUUGAUACUGGAAGUCUUGAGUCCGGAAGAGGUAAGUGGAACUGCGAGUGUAGAGGUGAAAUUCGUAGAUAUUCGCAAGAACACCAGUGGCGAAGGCGGCUUACUGGUCCGGUACUGACGCUGAGGUGCGAAAGCGUGGGGAGCAAACAGG